rnacentral:rRNA from 1 species
UACCCACCAGCUAGCCCCACAAACCACAAAACCAACAAAAUACCUUAAAUAACCCCAAAGACACUGCGCACCUCCACAACAAACCAUUUUACCCCCCUAGUAUGGGCGACAGAAAAGGAACUAUAGGAGCAAUAGAAAAAGUACCGCAAGGGAACGCUGAAACAGAGAUGAAACAGCCCAGUGAAGUUCAAAAAAGCAGAGAUAACACCUCGUACCUUUUGCAUCAUGAAUUAGCCAGCACGCCUCAAGCAAAAAGCACUUUUAGUUUGAUACCCCGAAACUACGUGAGCUACUCCAAGAUAGCCUAUAUAUAGGGCGAACCCGUCUCUGUGGCAAAAGAGUGGGAAAAGCUUCGAGUAGAGGUGACAAGCCUACCGAACCUAGUUAUAGCUGGUUGCCUGGGAACUGGAUAGAAGUUCAGCCUCUGGGAUUCUCCCAUCAUACAAUUGUUUUAACAUACAACAAACAGACCAAGAGAAGCCGAGAGAGUUAGUCGAAAGGGGUACAGCUCCUUCGAAACAAGAUACAACUUUACUAGCAGGGUAUAGAUCACAAUAAACCAAAGGCGGAAGAACGUAGUGGGCCUAAAAGCAGCCAUCUAGACAGAAAGCGUUAAAGCUCAAACAGUCACCCCUCCCCUAAUACCGAUAAUUUAUCUCAACCCCCUACCUACUACCAGGCCACCCCAUGCCAACAUGGGAGCGACAAUGCUAGCAUGAGUAAUAAGAGGGCACAAGGCCCUCUCCUGGCACAUGUGUACAUCGGAACGAACCCCCACCGAAAUUUAACGGUCCCAAACAAAGAGGGCACUGAACAACAAACACAACCACUAGAAAAUCAUCCAAUACCUAACCGUUAACCCCACACUGGUGUGCCAACAGGGAAAGACUAAAAGAAUGAGAAGGAACUCGGCAAAUAAUUAAGCCUCGCCUGUUUACCAAAAACAUCGCCUCUUGCACACAAACAAGAAUAAGAGGUCCCGCCUGCCCAGUGACAUCUGGUUCAACGGCCGCGGUAUUUUGACCGUGCGAAGGUAGCGUAAUCACUUGUCUUUUAAAUGAAGACCUGUAUGAAUGGCAUAACGAGGGCUUAACUGUCUCCUCCUUCCGGUCAAUGAAAUUGAUCUCCCCGUGCAGAAGCGGGGAUACUACCAUAAGACGAGAAGACCCUAUGGAGCUUUAAACGCCAGAACAGCCUAUGUCCAAACCUUUUAGCCAUAUAACGUAAACUCAAUAGACCCUGCUCUAGUGUUUUCGGUUGGGGCGACCAUGAGGAAGACAAAACCCUCAAGUGGAACAGGAGGAAUAAACCCCAAAUACUUCCCACCUCCUACAUACAAGAGCUACAGCUCUAAUCAACAGAAUUUCUGACCAAAAAUGAUCCGGCAGCGCCGAUCAACGAACUAAGUUACCCUAGGGAUAACAGCGCAAUCCUCUUUUAGAGCCCAUAUCGACAAGAGGGUUUACGACCUCGAUGUUGGAUCAGGACAUCCUAAUGGUGCAGCCGCUAUUAAGGGUUCGUUUGUUCAACGAUUAAUAGUCCUACGUGAUCUGAGUUCAGACCGGAGUAAUCCAGGUCAGUUUCUAUCUAUGCCAUGUUCUUCCCCAGUACGAAAGGACCGAGAAGAAGAAGCCAAUGCCUAAAGCACGCCUCACCCUUAACUGAUGAACACAACUAAAUUAGAUAAAAGGGCAUCCCAAACACAAUCACGCCACAGAAAAUGGCAU